rnacentral:rRNA from 1 species
AUGCAAGUCGAGCGGAAACGAUGGUAGCUUGCUACCAGGCGUCGAGCGGCGGACGGGUGAGUAAUGCUUAGGAAUCUGCCUAGUAGUGGGGGAUAGCCCGGGGAAACUCGGAUUAAUACCGCAUACGCCCUACGGGGGAAAGCAGGGGAUCUUCGGACCUUGCGCUAUUAGAUGAGCCUAAGUCGGAUUAGCUUGUUGGCGGGGUAAUGGCCUACCAAGGCAACGAUCCGUAGCUGGUCUGAGAGGAUGAUCAGCCACAUCGGGACUGAGACACGGCCCGAACUCCUACGGGAGGCAGCAGUGGGGAAUAUUGGACAAUGGGCGCAAGCCUGAUCCAGCCAUGCCGCGUGUGUGAAGAAGGCUUUCGGGUUGUAAAGCACUUUCAGCGAGGAGGAAGGCCUUAAGAUUAAUACUCUUGAGGAUUGACGUCACUCGCAGAAGAAGCACCGGCUAACUCCGUGCCAGCAGCCGCGGUAAUACGGAGGGUGCAAGCGUUAAUCGGAAUUACUGGGCGUAAAGCGCGCGUAGGUGGUUAUGUAAGCGAGAUGUGAAAGCCCCGGGCUCAACCUGGGAACGGCACUUCGAACUGCAUGGCUAGAGUGUGGUAGAGGGUAGUGGAAUUUCCUGUGUAGCGGUGAAAUGCGUAGAUAUAGGAAGGAACACCAGUGGCGAAGGCGGCUACCUGGACCAACACUGACACUGAGGUGCGAAAGCGUGGGGAGCAAGCAGGAUUAGAUACCCUGGUAGUCCACGCCGUAAACGAUGUCAACUAGCCGUUGGGGAUCUUGAAUCCUUAGUGGCGCAGCUAACGCACUAAGUUGACCGCCUGGGGAGUACGGCCGCAAGGUUAAAACUCAAAUGAAUUGACGGGGGCCCGCACAAGCGGUGGAGCAUGUGGUUUAAUUCGACGCAACGCGAAGAACCUUACCUGGCCUUGACAUGCAGAGAACGUUCCAGAGA